GACAUUCUUCAUGCGCCGUGCAGAGACAUGUACAGCUGACAUCGCUAGGAACGUUUGGAAUUCUGGCGCCCUGGAAGCAAAUGUGCCAUUAGCAGCCCUCAACAGCUCUAGGUUCUUCUAGCCUCGCCACCAAAUAACGAAAAUUACACAUUAGACACGUGGCUCUCAGCAACGAACUUCUGUAACUACACUCCUGGACGCAAUGUGGAAGCCGUACGUUUCCAGCAGAACUCAGAAGCAAUGCGGAAGAACUGGAUAUUUCAUGGCAAGUUUACUCUCUUUUUUCAGCAUACUAAAAAUAA